GACGAACGCUGGCGGCGUGCCUAAUACAUGCAAGUCGAGCGAAGUUUUUCUGGUGCUUGCACUAGAAAAACUUAGCGGCGAACGGGUGAGUAACACGUAAAGAACCUGCCUCAUAGACUGGGACAACUAUUGGAAACGAUAGCUAAUACCGGAUAACAGCAUUAACUGCAUGGUUGAUGUUUAAAAGUUGGUUUUGCUAACACUAUGAGAUGGCUUUGCGGUGCAUUAGCUAGUUGGUGGGGUAAAGGCCUACCAAGGCGACGAUGCAUAGCCGACCUGAGAGGGUGAUCGGCCACACUGGGACUGAGACACGGCCCAGACUCCUACGGGAGGCAGCAGUAGGGAAUCUUCCGCAAUGGGCGAAAGCCUGACGGAGCAACGCCGCGUGAGUGAAGAAGGAUUUCGGUUCGUAAAGCUCUGUUGUUAGGGAAGAAUG
rnacentral:rRNA from 1 species